GGGCCCGCACAAGCGGUGGAGCAUGUGGUUUAAUUCGAUGAUACGCGAGGAACCUUACCAGGGCUUAAAUGUAAGUUGCAUAAGCUAGAGAUAGCUUUUUCUUCGGACUACUUACAAGGUGCUGCAUGGUUGUCGUCAGCUCGUGCCGUGAGGUGUCAGUUAAGUCCUAUAACGAGCGCAACCCCUGUUGUUAGUUGCCAUCGAGUAAUGUCGGGAACUCUAACAAGACUGCCGGUGCAAACCGCGAGGAAGGUGGGGAUGACGUCAAAUCAUCACGGCCCUUACGUCCUGGGCUACACACGUGCUACAAUGGCCGGUACAGAGAGCAGCCACUACGCGAGUAGGCG
rnacentral:rRNA from 1 species